AGGGAGACCUAAUUCAGGUAUGGGACGAAAAAAAAGUAGUCCCAACCAAGAAUCAAUCCCAAAAGGUCGGAGCGAGGCGAAAUUGGCUUUCAAACUAGGUUCUGGGUUCACACAAGACCUGAAUCAGGAACAAGGGCUAUUAGCUCAGGUGGUUAGAGCGCACCCCUGAUAAGGGCGAGGUCCCUGGUUCGAGUCCAGGAUGGCCCACCUGCACAGGUGGCAAAAACAAGAGAAGCUCCGAAUCAGCACCUUAUCUUACUUAUAUAGUAAGAGAGAAUGCUGGCUCUGAGUUCAGAGUCCAGAGGAACCUUGAAAACUGCAUAGAGCUAGGUGAAAAAGCCAAAAAAGAAGACCGCAA
rnacentral:tRNA from 1 species